AACCUGUGUCUUGGACUGCCGGCCCAGCGCUCCCUUCUGAUACAAUUCAUUGUAUUGUAGGGGAUGUAUGGGCAUUUUGCUCUGCGAAAGCUUUCACUAGACAACUUUCUUCUUAUGAGCGGAAGUGUACAAUGUAGCACAUUUUAUAUCUAUUGCUUGUUUUUAUUAUAUGUUUAUUACAUAUGUUAUAAUACACAUAUGUUUAUUAUAUGUUUACCUGUGAAGGACCCAGGAAGGGUCAGAGGGAUGAGUCCUUAGAAGAGAGCUGCAUACAGUAGUGGAACUCAUAUAUAUAACGGCUGUUGGAAGGAGAGGACCAAGGUGCAUCGUGAAAAUAUGGAAAAAAAGGGGGUGGAGGUCAGACUACCUUCUGAGAAUUCGUAGAGUCGUGGCUGAACGCCGACAUCCUUCUACGCCGGCUCAGACGCUUGUCGGAUGUGGCAAGGCUUGAAAACUAUUACGAACUACAAAGGGAAACACAGCCGCAAGCUGCCCAUUGUUGCGAGCCUACCAGAUGAGAUAAAUGCCUUUUAUGCUCACUUCGAGACAAGCAACGGUGAAGCAUGCAUGAGAGCACCAGCUGUUCUGGACUGUGUGAUAAUGCUCUCGGAAGGCGAUGUGAGCAAGACCUUUAAACAGGUCAACAUUCACAAAGCCCUGGGGUCAGAUGGAUUACCAGGAUGUGUACUCAAAGCAUGCAAAGACCAACUGGCAAGUGUCUUCACUGACAUUUUCAACCUCUCCCUGACCGAAUCUGUAAUACCUACAUGUUUCAAGCAGACCACCAUAGUCCAAGUUCCCAAGGAAGUGAAAGUAACCUGCCUAAAUGAUUACCACCCGUAGCACUCACGUCGGUAGCCAUGAAGUGCUUUGAAAGGCUGGUCAUGGCUCACAUCAACAGCAUCCUCCCUGAUACCCUAGACCCAAUCCACAUACCACCCCAACAGAUCCACAAUCGCACUCCACACUGCCCUUUCCCAUCUGAACAAAAGGAACACCUAUGUGAGAAUGCUGUUCAUUGACUACAGCUCAGCGUUCAACACCAUAGUGCCCACAAAGCCAAUCACUAAGCUAAGGACCCUGGGACUAAACACCUCCCUCUGCAACUGGAUCCUCGACUUCCUGACGGGCCACCCCCAGGUGGUAAGGGUAGGCAACAACAUGUCUGCUACGCUGAUCCUCAACACUGGGGCCCCUCAGGGGUAUGUGCUUAGUCCCCUCCUGUAUUCCCUGUUCACCCACGACUGCGUAACCAAACACGACUCCAACACCAUCAUUAAGUUUCCUGACGGCACAACAGUGGUAGGCCUAAUCAGCGACAACGAUGAGACAGCCUAUCGGCAGGAUAGGUGCUAGGACAACAACCUCUCCCUCAAUGUGAGCAAGACAGAGGAUCUGAUCGUGGACUACAGGAAAAGGCAGGCCGAACAGGCCCCCAUUAUCAUCGACGGGGCUGUAGUGCAGCCGGUCGAGAGUUUCAAGUUCCUUGGUGUCCACAUCACCAACAAACUAUCAUGGUCCAAACACACCAAGUCAGUCAUGAAGUGGGCACAACAACACCUCUUCCCCCUCAGGAGACGGAACAGAUUGGGCAUGGAUCCUCAGAUCCUCAAAAAGUUCUACAGCUGCACAAUCGAGAGCAUGGUUUCAUCACCGCCUGCUAUUGUAACUGCUCGGCAUCUGACCGUAAGGCGCUACAGAGUGUAGUGCGUACGGCCAAGUACAUCACUGGGGCCAAGCUUCCUGCCAUCCAGGACCUUUAAACUAGGCGGUGUCAGAGGAAUGCCCUAAAAAUUGUCAAAGACUCAAGUCACCCAAGUCAUAGACUGUUUUCUCAAGUCAUAGACUGUUUUCUACCGCACGGCAAGCGGUCCUGGAGCACCAAGUCUAGGACCAAAAGUCUCCUUAACAGCUUCUACCCCCAAGCUGUAAGACUGCUGAACAUUUAAACAAAUUAUAUUAAACAAAUUAUUUAAACAAAUGACUCGUUGUUUAUAAUCGAUGCAUAGUCACUUCACCUCUACCUACAUGUACAAAUUACCUCCACUAACCUGUACUCCUGCACAUUGACUCGGUACCUCUACCCCCUGUAUAUACCCUCAUUAUUGUUAUUUUAUUGUGUAACUUUGUAAUAUUUUUUACUUUAGUUUAUUUAGUUGAUUUAUUUACUUCUUAACUCUUUCUUGAACUGCACUGUUGGUUUAAGGGCUUGUAAAUGUGCAUUUCACGGCAAGGUCUACACAUGUAUUCAGCACAUGUCACAAAUAAAAUUUGAUUGGAUUUGA